rnacentral:rRNA from 1 species
GGGCAGCAAUGUCACCGUCGCACGGGUGCGUAACGCGUAUGCAACCUACCUAUCACAGGGGGAUAGCCUUUGGAAACAGGGAUUAAUACCGCAUAAAGCAGGGGCUCCGCAUGGAGAUAUUGCUAAAGAUUUAUCGGUGAUAGAUGGGCAUGCGUCUGAUUAGUUAGAUGGUGGGGUAACGGCCUACCAUGGCGAUGAUCAGUAGGGGGCGUCAGAGCGUGGUCCCCCACACUGGCACUGAGAUACGGGCCAGACUCCUACGGGAGGCAGCAGUAGGGAAUAUUGGGCAAUGGAUGCAAGUCUGACCCAGCCAUGCCGCGUGAAGGAAGAAGGUCCUCUGGAUUGUAAACUUCUUUUGUCGGGGAAGAAGAGUCAUCUUGCGAGGUGAUGUGACGGUACCCGAUGAAUAAGCCACGGCUAACUACGUGCCAGCAGCCGCGGUAAUACGUAGGUGGCAAGCGUUGUCCGGAUUUAUUGGGUUUAAAGGGUGCGUAGGUGGUUUAAUAAGUCAGUGGUGAAAGCUGGUUGCUCAACAAUCAAGUUGCCAUUGAUACUGUUAGACUUGAGAGAAGUGGAGGCUGGUGGAAUGGAUGGUGUAGCGGUGAAAUGCAUAGAUAUCAUCCAGAACGUCAAUUGCGAAGGCAGCUGGCUGUACUUUUUCUGACACUGAGGCACGAAAGUGAGGGGAUCAAACAGGAUUAGAUAC